rnacentral:lncRNA from 1 species
AGAGCAUAUUAUUUUCAUAGGAUCAUUCGUAAUAAUAAUAAAAAAAGAACAGACACGGAAAGACGUGUUUCGUGGUAAGUAAAAUAUUUUAAGAUGGUUUUAAUUAUGUCAUAAAAUUUAAAUCCUGUUAUCUAGGAUGCGUUAAUUUACAACCACUGGGUCGAUGCAGGGGCGGAUUCAGCCAUUUUAAAAAAGGGGGUCCCAACCCAGAGUAAAAGGGGGGGUGGUUCCAACUAUAUGCUCCCAUUAAAAUGCAUUGAUCGUUCAAAAAGUGGGGUUCCAACCCCCGGAACGCCCCCCCCCCUCCCUGGAUCCGCCAAUGCGAUGCCACUGCUGGUGGAGAUUUAUUUGGUCGAGGGUUACACUAGCCCAGUAGUAAGCAUUUAUGUGUUAACCUGAGUUAUCAUUGAUAUCUUCAUAAUUAUAAAUUAACUGUUAACAAAACUUUGAAUUUUGGAAAAACUAAGGCUUUUCUACCUCAGGAAUAUAUUACCUUGGCUGUAUUUGGCAAAACUUUUAGGAAUUUUUGGCCACCAAUGCUCCUCAGCUUCGAACUGUAUUUGGUCUUUUUAACAUUUUUUUUUAUUCGAACGUCACUGAUGAGUCUUUUGUAGACGAAACGCAAGUCUGGCGUAAAAAUGAAAUUUUAAUCCGGUAUCUAUGCUAUUUUUAAGUUUAUUUAAUCUAUUUCAUGUUAUUUUACUUUAUGUUGACUUUUCAUUAAGUUUACUAAACUCAUCUGAUAUUAAUUAAGGCAGAAAAUGUUUUAACUCAUCUAUAUAUAUAUGGAUUAAAUUUACAAGAAAGGAUGUUCAAUAUAAGAGCAAAUACGCCAGCAUAAUACGCUACUAUCUUUAUCAACUUAAAAUUUUAUUAAUAAACAAAAGUAGGACACAACCAUAUUUAUAUAAUGAAAUACAAUGGUUUCCUGUGACGCAUACAGAGUCAUCUAUGAAAAAUAUUGACUAAUUAUGAAUGAAUCUAUUGCGAUGGUUAGUUGUGCAAUGUAGAUAAAUGUUUCCAGUUUUAAGGUCUAAUAUUGAUUUUGAAUAUUUUGGUCACAUUCGGUAGCAGGGAAUGGGAUGGUAUUAAUAAUAAGAAGAACAUGUUCGCUAUCAUAUGUGAAACGGAUAUGCCAUAACGUUUAUUCAACUCGUUAUGUCGUCUGCAAAACAUACGAAGGGAUGAUUUUAGCCUCACCACUUAGAAAUCUAAGUUACAUUGCAUCUUUCUAUUAAGAAAAUCAUUAUAUGAAAUUAAAGACAAGGAAUAUUAUAUCAACUGUUGAUAUAACCAUAAGCAGGCGCUGCUAGAAUGAUGCUACAUAGAAAUAGAAAGUUCACAAUUGGGAAAAUGAACUCAUCUCUUUUUUAAUAAAAGUUUUGUUUUAACCGACACUCAUUAUCAAUUUCGAAAUGUAAGUCAAGAUAUGAGGCAGUUUGAACUGUAUUUGUUGUAUCCUUUUUCUAAAAUUCGAUGGGAUAUAUGCAUUCAACAUAAUCACCGAAACUUUAAAUCAUUUAGCUAGAGAAUAUAACCUAUAUAGCACCAAAAAGGGUUGAGGAUACUGCAUACUAAUUUUGUUUCUUCCUAAAAUACUUUUGUAUCAAGUCAGUCUCAUAUGAAUUAAGACACAAAUCGGCAAAAAGAGUUGCAAAGUUUUUUGGCAUGAGAAUGACGAUUGUUUAAACCUUAAAAGACAUCUUACCUAUUGUUCCACGUAGAAAAAUCUACAAAAUCCGUUGCUAAAUGUUGCUUUAAACUUGCAGUAAUCAAGGUAUCAAUGUGACUUUCAUAUGAAGCGCUGUUCCUUUGUGUUUUGUAUGUGUUAUGAUAGCUAUGGCGAGGAUACAUGGAUACCCGAUCUUAUUUGUUUUUCUAUUAUAUGAAUAAAGAAUGAUGUUUUGUUUGUAAUACAGAUUAAUAUGAUCAAUGCAAUAACUAUGUUGAUGAUAAGUAUUUAAAUUGAUUGUAGGAAAUCAUGGUUAACCUGGUCAUUUACAUACUAUUGGUAACAGUGUCCUCAGUACAACAGAAACCAUUGGAUUAUAAGGAUCGAAAUGUGCACAAAUUACCAAACAAUGUAUGGAAAAUGAGCGAACUAGACAUGCACCUUAAAAAACAAUCUACCCAAACUAUUUUAGUAACAAGAUUUACCACGAAGCCUUUCAUUUCGUCUUCAAAGACCAAGAGACAGUGGAUAUCUACCCCUAGGACCUUCGUUGACGCAACAAAAGUUAUUACUACGUUACAACAUAUUAUGAGCAUAAGAGAAAAACUCGUUACAACUGAAAAUUCACUAACAGUCUUAUCUGUGAACCAUUCUAAUAUUAGAAGCAGGACAAACGCAUCUGUUGCAAAUCUCUCUUAUAUAAGUUAUAUUUUCACUGUUAUAGGAGCUGUUUUUGCAACUAUUUUACUAUCGUAAAAUGAAGAAGAUGUGGUAUGAUUGGCUAUGAGACAAAUAUACCACCAGAGCCAACAUGACAUUAGCAGUUGGACUAUAUCGGAAGUAUCAUGAGGAAGAAUGUCUAUGUUUCUGUCACACCUCAGGGCAACGUCCAUAUUGAGAGAUAUAGUACCGAGAUUAGAUCGAAGUGAUAUUGGUAUCACACUAUUGAUAUGACAUGCGAAUAUUGAACGAGAUACAGAUAAUUUAUGAUGUUCCUUAGCGUUGACGAAGGAGCCCACACCAUGCAUACACAUGAAGGUGAUGUAUGCGAUACAUUUCCUGAAUCUUCUAGAAAUGAUAAAAAAAGUGAAAUUCAACAGUUCUUAAUCUGUUGCAAUGACCACGCCUGCAGUUUUAACCUUUUCGAUAAUAUUUUCUGAAAAGUUUUAUACAAGUUCAGACUUGAAAGUCUUUUAUUAACUUUCCUCCUGAAAAUUAAUUUGCAUGUUUCUACAAACAACAUGUAGACUGAAGGGAUUAAUCUAAAUACCGAACGAUUCAGUUUGUAGACAUUCGUACCAGACAAUAACCGGGAAAUCUAAAUCUGAAGAGACAAACCUGUCCGAUAUGAUGAGGAGAAAACUUGUUAUGCGAAAAAAAAAUAACAAAAAUUAGAUUCUAUCAGACAACUUAAGGAAAGAGAUGUCAGAGUUUCAAUACACAAGGAGAAGAUUUAAACAAUUUGAUCAGCUGUGAAUGGGAAAAGAGAGGUUACAAAACAUAAGUGGUGGUGGUCGAUAAUUGAAUGGUUAUUUUCAAACUGAUAAUUGUUAAUAAACCGUUUGCGUUUUCCGAACUGCUGAAAAAAAAGGGGAAAGAGAAUGUACACACGAUAUUUAAAAAAAGAAAAUACAGCGCGACUGAGUAGGAUGGACAAAUAUAUCGGUCUUCACACAAAUUAAUUGCUAUUAGAAGCAGCUCAUUUCUUUACACUCAUUUGUAAAUAGUUUGAAUUAAUUUUUUUUAGAUAAAAAUGAAAAAAAAAACUCAAAACUUUGCUUUUUUAAUUGUGUAUUAAAAAUUUAUAUUUGCCACAAAAUCACAUACCAGUAGAC